GUGGCAGUCUUGAUUUUAAGGCUUUGGAUUAAGUAGUUGUUUAAGCUAAGUUAUCUCCCUUUGACCAUAGUUGUAGUUUGUGUCCAGUCAGGUGUAUUGACCUUAGGUCAAUUUGUUCCCUCAAAAAGACUGUGUUCUGAUUGGUUUAGGCAUCAGUGAUCAAUAUCUCACUACCUGGAAAGCUUUGAUACAGUGUACAUGUAUUUGGUAGAAGUUAUUUUAAAUCUGUAAUGUAUUAGUUUUAAAUGGAUGGAAUUAUUAGUCAGAGACCAUUAACCUGAAUCACAGUGUGAUAGAGCAGAUGAGUUGUUGUGGUGCAGCUGGUGAUAUUGUCUAGUGAUGAUGCAUUUAAGUCCACAACUUGGAUGCUUAGUUUACCAACCAAUAAAUUGAUAAAGGUACUAAGAGCUUGUUUACUACACAUGACCUCCAGAUGGACCUACUCCUCAAACCCCACUAGCAGUUAUACUUCCUUAUAAUUUACAAAGGAACUUUAAGUAAAACUAGCCAAGUGACACAUGGAUAAAUUCGGACUGACUUUACGUUUAGAUAAAUGUUAUAGUUAUUGUUCAAAGUUGAUAACAUUCUUCCCUUGACAAUAUAUAUUAGUUUGACCAACAAGGAGGUUGAUCACUUAAAACGUAAUAACGGACAGUUUGCUUAGAAUGACUUUAUAUUGUAACUGAAUUUUGCAAAAUUUAUUUUAAGCAUGGCCACUGUUUCCUCCUACUAAAACAACAACAACAACAACAACAACAAUUGCUUAAUGCAUGACACCUAUUCUGUUUCGUACGAAGUUAUUGGUGAGCUGAUUACCUUUCAGAAAUUAUAAAAGUACAAUAUAUUUAAAGCUAUAAAAACUUUUUGACUAUAUUAUUUGUAAAUACAAUCUGUCAGCUUUCUGAUAUAUGUUGCACAAGAAAUUGAUUUUAGGCUUUUAGAAAUUUUCAAGUGAAUCUAGAAUGCCCCUGAAGUUCGAAGGUUCAAUUAUCAUAAACUUCACGGGUGCUAUUCUGGCUCGGUCUCUACUUGGCAAUAGUUUGUCUUUAGACAGUUUUUAGCAUGCAGUGGUAAUUUCAAUUUUAAAACUGGUGCUUGUUUUUUUUUCAAGUAUGAUACUAAAGAACCUACUAUGAAACUUGUCUUAUGCCUCUAAUGCAUCUGCAAACAGAAAAAAGACAUAACAAUUUUCAAUUACAAUCAUUCGGGUAAACGCCAUAACAUGCCUUGUCUAUUUAAUGACCAUCAAUACUGAAAAUGUGCACGGUUUUCAAUAUCAGUACUCAGUAAACGAAACUACAAUGUUUA
rnacentral:lncRNA from 1 species